UACGGGGGGGGCAAGCGUUGUUCGGAAUUACUGGGCGUAAAGCGCACGUAGGCGGACUAUUAAGUCAGGGGUGAAAUCCCGGGGCUCAACCCCGGAACUGCCUUUGAUACUGGUAGUCUCGAGUCCGGAAGAGGUGAGUGGAAUUCCGAGUGUAGAGGUGAAAUUCGUAGAUAUUCGGAGGAACACCAGUGGCGAAGGCGGCUCGCUGGUCCGGUACUGACGCUGAGACGCGAAAGCGUGGGGAGCAAACAGG
rnacentral:rRNA from 1 species